GCGAAAGUGGUGAAAUGGCAGACACACUAGACUUAGGAUCUAGCGCCGCGAGGUAUGGGGGUUCAAGUCCCCCCUUUCGCA
rnacentral:tRNA from 1 species